rnacentral:rRNA from 1 species
UGCCAGCCGCCGCGGUAACACGGGGGGAGCAAGCGUUGUUCGGAAUCACUGGGCGUAAAGGGCGUGUAGGCUGCACGGUAAGUGAGAUGUGAAAUCCCUCGGCUCACCCGAGGAAGUGCAUCUCAAACUGCCGCGCUUGAGUACGGGAGAGGUUGUGGGAAUUCCUGGUGUAGCGGUGAAAUGCGUAGAUAUCAGGAGGAACACCGGUGGCGAAGGCGCACAACUGGCCCGAUACUGACGCUGAGGCGCGAAAGCUAGGGUAGCAAACGGGAUUAGAUA